CAAUUCUUCUGUUGCAAGGAACUCUGAAGGACCACAACAGAAUACAGAAAUAGAGUUGAGAGGAAGAGCAAAAGAGAUCUGAGGCAAGAACUUCAUCACUGCACCAGCACCUCACACCAAAAAGGGCAGAAAUCACAUGAAAAAUCUUUUCACGUGGAAAAAUGUUCUGGAAAGGUGAAGUGCUACCAAUUUUUGACAGCAAGUUAUGAUAUAAGAUUGAUAGUGGGUUGCCAAGAACCCUGAUCACAACUUGCCGUAUGAGGUGUCCUUGGAUAAAUCAUUCAAUGCCCGUCUUUAAAAUUAGUACAAGAAAAUGCCCAUAGACACAUUUAUUUUAGAAGGGUUCUGUUUAAUGUUUGUAAAGAAUCUAAAGAUUUAAAACACCAUAUAAGUCCUAAGUAUUAAUCUCAGUCUUGUAGACAAGCUGUGCAUUCUCUAAAUAAAAAUCUUUGUAAUAACAUCCAUCUGCAUUUUGAAUAUAAGAAAGAAAUUGUAAGACAGCCUGUCUAUGACUGAAGCUUUUUCAUGAAGCUAACCCUACUGUUUGGCAUUCAGCCAGCUGCAGAAGCCUAUGGAGGAGGAAAACAGUUCUGAAGAAAAGAAUGUGCAUGUUAAGCAGAGGACAGCUUUUGUGAAGGGUGAGAAAAAUAAGACAAAUAUCCUCAACUGCCAAAGUACUCGCUGGUAUGUGCAGGAAUGAAGUGAAACAGAGGGGAGGAGAAAAAAACUGUAACAGGGCCCUGACACCUCCUCCUCCCACUCAUGGUAGUGUUAGCCUAUGUGUGCCACAGACUGAAAUAAAGUUUAUUUCUAUCUCAAGACCAGGUCUGAUUUGCAUUAAGAUUUCUCUGUGGAAAAGCACAAGAGGGAUUUGUUUGGAGCUCCUUAUGCCAACAAAGAAUGUGCACGAACUUUCAGAGCUACAGCAGCGAUAACGUCAGAUGCCUCAAGAAGUUUGGGCAUCAGCUGGUUAAUGCCAGAAUACAUGAAGAAUGCACCCAAAUAAUUACAUUUUCUGACACAAUGACAACAUCCUUUUUAUUCAGCUGGAUUUAUCCUGCUGUCAAAAGUAUUUUGUAUAAUGCUGCUGAGAUGUUCAGAACUCACUCUCUAGACCCCCUCAUCAUGCAGAAUCAUCAUGUGCAGAAUCAUCAGAAAUGCCUGCUGCCUGAUGCAUAUCGGAUGUCAGAACUAGGCCCCUGACUUCCUCUCCGCACUCAUCUAUGGAUCCAUUUCACUCAAGCUGUGCUGCAGAUGCAUAUUGGUGCAAUACUGUAACAAACCUAUGGAGUUACAGCCAAUAUGUCCUCCUCCACUUCCUAGAGGGUUUUGUUCUCACAUCAUUAGUCUGCUGUGCCUAUGUAUCACCCUAGCGGCAUCUCUCAAACACUUAAGGAACCAAUAACAUGAAAAUUAAAAGUACAGCAAAAGACUUUCGAUGAUGAUCCUUUCUGAGGACUUUUAGAAAUUGCUCUGGUUCCUGCAUUAAAGUCUUUUGCAUGCUAGAGAUGUCUCCAGUAAUAAAUCAUAACUUUCCAUUAGAUGAAAACUUUCCUCUUAACCUAAGGGCUUGCCUCUACUACA